rnacentral:lncRNA from 1 species
CUGAAGUGGAAAUUGCCAUUCGGUAUUUCUGGCUGCCCGCACGACUUUCCGAUGCAGAAGUCGGGGUCCGACGCCCAGGUGGAGUUGGGCAGGCAGGUGACGCUGGGGAGCUUGUUCCUAUCUCCCGUGUACCCCGGGCGGCAGCGGUACCGCAGCACCGCCCCAACGGGGUACGAAGAGUUGGUGGGGCCGGGGGGCUCCGCAAAAGAGAACCUCGGCGGCUGCGGGCAGUCACCGCACACUCCGGGCAGCGCCAGCAGCGCAGCGCUGAGCCACAGCAGCGCCGUACCCACGGCCAUCUCCGGACGCUCCGGCGGUUGUGCGCGGUGCUGCGAGCAGCCCAGCGGUACGGCUCGGCUCUGCACGGCUCUCCUCCGCACGACCUUUUCCGGAG